GGCGAGGGGCUGCGCGGCGCGGCGCCCGUUGGUACUGCCCGGCCGGGGCCCCGCGUGCGGAGAGGGGAGGCCGCGGCCCUUGUGAGGCGGCGGCGGGGAAGGUGCUGGAAGCGCUUCAGAGCUUCCGGAGCCGCCGGCCAGAGCUCUGCCUCAGCGCCAGCCUUAAAAACCGUGACAAAAAUAAAGAGAAAUCCGUCUGGCGGUACGCGCGGCUUGUGGUCCUGCCGUGUGGAGGGAGCCUGCCGCUGAGGAGGUAGCGUGCCCGCUUUACGGGGGGGUCACUCUGCUGCAGCAACGUCUGGCGUUAAGGAAAAGGUUGACGUUUUGCUUCCUAACCAGGUAGGCCCAGCUUUGCGUUUGUGUUUUGCAAGAGUAUUACCUCACGCCUGAUGUUAUUGAACUCUUCUAGUUUCUCUCCAGAAACCAUGAACAUGAGAGACGUCAUUGUUAGCAAAGACAAGACAGAGUUUGAAACAAUUCUGCAGAAAUGGAGAAAUCUGACAGGAAUUUCUGCAAUGAAGCACUGAGUGGCAGAGGGAGGAGUGACAGAGGAACUGCUCUGUAUCCUCAUCCACAAACAGCCUAGGAGAGAAAGAAUAUGUUUCGCUGGUAUGGUGCCGGAGAACACCUGGUCUAAUAGCUUUGCAGACUUUUUCACCAAGACUCUUCCCUGCUCCUCAGCUGUCAUCCGAGGCCAGAGGGGCAUUUGCACUGAGAGGAGCCCAAGCUGCGUGACUGAUGUUGUCUGUAAACCAGCAGCAGAGAAGAGCUGCUCCAGAGCUAUUGCUGAGCCACAAGGUCUGCUUAAAAGUAAAAGUGGGAACUAAACCCAGGAUGGUUCCUGCCUUUUGGAGGUACAAGGUAAGGCAGUGUGUGACUAUACAAGCAUAACAGCAGAGGAUGGGAUCUUGCUGAUCCCUAUUGCCCACUGCAGAAGAUGCAGGGCGAAGGCCCCCUCCAGCCCUCUCCUGAUGCAACACUCACCACACCCCUCUUGACAAGACAGUGUGAAGGAAAUGCUGAACAGCAGCAUCACAUCUCCCCACCCCAACACCUCUCUUAAGGACCCAUGGCACUGAGAGGCAGCCUGUCCUGGACUCUGAGCUCCUGGAGGCGUGAGGAUCUCUGAGAUGGCACCAGCACCACCAGGGGAGAGCUCUCCACUGCUCGAGAUGGGACUGCCAGUCCUCCCACAGCAUCUGGCCCUAAGCUGCACUAGGUCUGUUACAACCUGUAACAACCUCCUCAUCUUUUUCCAGUACCUCACAGCACUUUCUGCUCACUGAGCUAGCACUCAGUUCUGUCACACAGCUCGCUGCUGGGGAGACACAGGGAAACAACCCUGGUGUAUUUCACAUGUUGCCUACCCGCCCUGUCUUUGUUUGCAGUACCUGUCUCUUGUCUCCUCUUAUGUUUGUAGUCGAAGCUCUGUGGAGGUGGGACUGCACAUCUGUCUGUGUGCACAGUGCCUGGCACAGUGCAGCAAGCUGGCUCUGCUCUCCUGCACUACCAAUUAAAUAUAUUAUCACCCUACCAAGGGUAGGUAGGGAAAAAUGUAAGGGACAAAAAGACCGUGGAUACACCAAGGUCUGUGCCCUGUGUCACCCAGCACAGCCAAGGAUCUGGUGCAAUAUUCCUGUGACUGUUCUUUCCAUUAAUCAUGUUGCAAACUGUCUGCUAAGCAGAGAAAAUCUUUUGCUGUGUUUCCCUUCUGUUUACUCCUCACUGGGUUCAUGUCAUGCUAGUAACUGUUUUGCUGUUUUUGCUCUUAAAGAUGUAUUGUUUCAUUCUUUCAUGAAGAGCUUCUCCAAGACAAACAGGGAAUUGCACUGAUGUUUUGAUAUAUUUAUCCUUACCCUUUGAAUUUCUGCCUCAGGUGCUCAAACUGAAUGAACUGUACUGCCAUCUGGGGAUGUAGUAUUUUCAUUUCUGUUUGUCGUUCUACCUUUGAAUCCUAUUAAA